AGGUCUUAUUCUGCUUUUCCAGUGGAGAAAAGUACAAAAACCCAGAUGAGCUGCAGCAGUGGUUGGUAAGAAGAUGCUGUGGGUGACUGCACGGAGGUAGCACAACCAGCCUCUGGCAUGUGAACACGUGUGUCAGGUUAUUUCAAGGGAAAGUCAAGCUGGAUGAGCCAACAUGGAGAAUACAUUCUGCCUCUUCUGCAAAUGCAGAAUCACUUUUGUGUGGUGUUGCUCAGAUCCAGGACAGACUCGGUCCUCAUCUGUUAGAAACGUUAUUAAAAAGAACAGUGACAGGUAAAACCAGCAACACAGGCAAGACCAGAUCUCUGCUUCCCCAGUUGCCCCCUCACAGGUUUAAUCCAGGAGGAUGCUGCUGUCUCCUGCAGCACAGAGGCCAGGCACAUCCACGGCAGAGGAAAAGGCAUGCUGGAAAUAUCUGCUCUGCUCUCAGUCUGUACCUUGUGACCCUGCCAGGACCAGCCCCCCGCAGCCUCCAUUGUCCCCUGCUCUGCUCCCCAUUGUUCCCUUGCAAUCGGAGAU
rnacentral:lncRNA from 1 species